GAGAGAUGGGAGCUUCUAACCCGAAAGAGAGAGAGACGACCGGGAAGGGAAACCCGACCGGAACUAUCACCUCCGGCCACCGAUCAACGACGCAAGACCACUAUUCUCUUCCUCUCAUCGUCUUCGUCACGCCUGUGGCCUCAGAUCGUCCAUGCACGGACUGUGGAGAGGAUUCGAAGCUUGAAAGGUUUGAACUUUCCGGCGAUGUUUCUGCAAUUUUCGGCGAUCUUCGGGGCUGUGUGAGUUCGGGUAUCGACAGAACCGCCAUCCAUGGCGGCGAUUCCAGGCUUCUAGUUUCGUUUCUGGCGUCUUGGAAAACCAGUUGAGGUCCGGGGAAGCUUGGUUCCUUGAAUUGGCGUUCGGUGAUGCUUUGGUCCUUGCUGUACUUCAAACUGAAGGGAGAAAUUCAGUGGGCUCGACCCGACGUUUACUGAGCUCGGUAGCUGCACGUUUAGGCUUGCCCAAGUUGGUCUCUGUUAACGAUUCUUUAAUUCUCAAAGGACUCCAGUUACCCAAGGAACGGAAGGUUCGCGACUCUCGGAGUACGUGAGAGAAAGCAUUGGAAUCCAGGUAGGGGAUUCAGGACUCUCCUCGGUUAGCGAUUUUCUUAUAUUGUUAUUAAAUGAUGCACGUUAGUUGGUAUGGUUUGGUCAUGUUCAAAUGCAAUGCAUACUAACCAAACCAUGUGAGAAAUGUGAUGGCUUGAGAGCGAAGGGUGGCUCUGACUUCCUUGGGUUCGAUCCCCAAAACCUCAGGAGGGUUAGCUACACCGGUCGGACGGUGAGCGAUCACAAUGACGACCCGUUCCGUGUGUGUAGCUAGGUAGCGGACGCUCUCGCUACGCUUACCUGGUGAUAAAUUAAAUUGAGGUAAGGUCGUGUAGUGGGUCUAUGGGACCGGCCAUCAGGUAAUACUUGGAUUUGGCGCCGUAUUUAUUUAAGCAUCAUGCAUCAGUUUUCAAGUUGAAAAACAUUAAAGUUUGUCGUUCUUUUAAAAUAUUUGGUUUAAGCAUGUUUUCAUACUGGGAUCCCAAAUAUAUAUUUAGUGGUUUCAACCCUAGUCGUGGUAGAGUUCCUGUAAGAGCAGCGAGGACGAAAGCUCACCCCUACAACAGUGUGGAUGCAGGUACUGUGCACUGGUGACAGGACAAUAGUGGACGGAGCUGGGUGUGCGGAACAAGUUCGACAUCCAAGUCGUAGAGUGCUUGUUGAUCUGAUUAAGGCACCCAAUGUGCCGUUUGUAAUGGGCCCUGGAAUGGGCUUUUGUGUUGUCCCUUUUACAUGUCGACAAACAAGUUCGGUCGGGCCCGGGCUCAAAAAGUGAUCUGAACACCCAUUGCGAAGGGUUGAGUUUUCAUGUCGAGUCACUACUUUUAUUUUCGACGAAUCGAACUUUCGGGCUCAGAAUUUGCAGUAGACCUCCGUCAAUGAGCUUGCUUCCCUUUUUUUUUUGUUAGGAGGUCCAGUGACUCGUGUCACUUUCAGUGGACAUGCAAUAUUGGUGAAGAUUCUGAUCAUUUAAUUUGAACCGGAUAUGUGAGAUAGGCUUGCUUCCAAUUGUUUUCGAGGAGGCCCAAUAAAACCGGGAUGACCGAAGACGUACAUUUCAGUAUUUCACCAUGCUGGUCUUCACAUUGUACGUUUAUCUUGUUUACCAUUAGUUUAGUUUGUUUGCACCAGUAAUCUUGCAUUGCAUCACCGCUUCAAAAAGAGAUAUGCUGCACUCAAUUUUCAUGUAAUAGGCAAGCUUCUUUAAUUAAUGCAAACCUCAUGCUUAGGUGUAGGUUUUGUUUUCGCGUAGGUAUUCAACUACAGACCACAUUGUUUCUCAAA